rnacentral:rRNA from 1 species
CACGUAGGCGGCUAUGCAAGUUGGGGGUGAAAGCCCGGGGCUCAACCUCGGAACUGCCUCCAAAACUGCAUCGCUAGAAUCCUGGAGAGGUGAGUGGAAUUCCUAGUGUAGAGGUGAAAUUCGUAGAUAUUAGGAAGAACACCAGUGGCGAAGGCGGCUCACUGGACAGGUAUUGACGCUAAGGUGCGAAAGCGUGGGGAGCGAACA